rnacentral:rRNA from 1 species
GACGAACGCUGGCGGCGUGCUUAACACAUGCAAGUCGAACGGAAAGGCCCUGCUUUUGUGGGGUGCUCGAGUGGCGAACGGGUGAGUAACACGUGAGUAACCUGCCCUUGACUUUGGGAUAACUUCAGGAAACUGGGGCUAAUACCGGAUAGGAGCUCCUGCUGCAUGGUGGGGGUUGGAAAGUUUCGGCGGUUGGGGAUGGACUCGCGGCUUAUCAGCUUGUUGGUGGGGUAGUGGCUUACCAAGGCUUUGACGGGUAGCCGGCCUGAGAGGGUGACCGGCCACAUUGGGACUGAGAUACGGCCCAGACUCCUACGGGAGGCAGCAGUGGGGAAUAUUGCACAAUGGGCGGAAGCCUGAUGCAGCAACGCCGCGUGCGGGAUGACGGCCUUUGGGUUGUAAACCGCUUUCGCCUGUGACGAAGCGGGAGUGACGGUAAUGGGUAAAGAAGCACCGGCUAACUACGUG